AAGAAAUACUUAGGAAUAAAUGUAAAAAGGUGAGAAGUUUGUACCUUGAAAUCUACAAACAUUGAUCAAAAUGAUUAAAAACAUAUACAGAGAUACAACCCAUAUUGAUGGAUUAAUAUUGUUAAAUGAUUAUAUAACCCAAUGUGAUUUAAAUUCAACACAAUACGCAUAAAAAUUCCAAUCAGUUUAUGUUAAA